AGGAUGAACGCUGGCGGCGUGCUUAACACAUGCAAGUCAAGGGGGCCCAGCAAUGGGCAACCGGCGAACGGGUGCGUAACACGUGAGCAACCUACCGAAUUGUGGGGGAUAGCCGGCCCAACGGCCGGGUAAUACCGCAUACGCUCGAGACCAGGCGUUUGGACUCGAGGAAAUUUACGGAGCAAUUCGAGGGGCUCGCGGCCUAUCAGCUAGUUGGUGAGGUAACGGCUCACCAAGGCGACGACGGGUAGC
rnacentral:rRNA from 1 species